CAAGCCUUUUAUAGGCCAAGCCUAAGGGUAGACCGGUUAGGGUGAGUCUUACAUCCCAAUCCAUCCCUUUACAUUGUGCGUGUGAACAUGACGGCCCAUUGGGCGCCCACCUUGCUACAGUUCUUCUAACGAGCCAUCCACUUGCCCUGACGCCUUCUUGCCUUGGUACGCACGGUGCCGGAGCACCCCGUCCAAGUCGUCUAUAUGGCAAUCACCAUAUUUUACCAUCUUACGUUGGUAAUUCUUGCUCCUCUCAAUCCGGACCCACCAUCCCGGGACGGGGGGGUGAUGAACCUGGCUCUCGGGUUUCCUCCCGGGAGGCCUUCACCUCUUCCCGGGUCUGCGAGGUGGCCCCACCUCUUGGCAGAGUUCCCGAGAGGCCUUUGCAGCCUCCUGAGUCCACGUAGUGGGUCCACCCUUCUGGCAGAGGGCAGCCGGGAGCUAAGCGGGCGCUCUCGAGACGAGGGAGGCGCCCGCCGCCUGUUGGACGGGACGGGUGAGGUCGUUAGUCCCCGAGGCAUCCAGGCGCGUCCCAUCAACCGUAAUGAUGGUGUUUUUACGGGGACGGGGUGCCUACUGACAGCCUACCUUGACCGUCUUGCCUUUCUUUUACUAGGAUGCGCCAUUGCUUGCUUAGCUUGGAAGCAAACUUUCCCGAGAGGCUUCCUGCGAGGCCUCCUCGGCUGCGUUCCGCUCCCUUUGCGUGAACCUUCAGUGGGUCCCAUAACGUGGAGGUGGUAUUUCCCGAGCUUCUAAUUCGUAGGACCCAUCUCCUUAAUUGGGCUCUACGUGGUGAAAACCUCUUUCCGCAGACAGGC
rnacentral:lncRNA from 1 species